rnacentral:lncRNA from 1 species
AAUAAAUGGUAAUUCAUCUUCUAUGUAAGUUAGUACUUGUACUUAAAUGCUAAACGAAAUGAUUGUGCCUUGCAUGUUCUGCCUUAUAUGCCUUUCUAGUAGUUGUGCUUUCUGUUCUUCCUGGUCUCUUCCAUCUUCCAAAUAUGUAUGGGCUUGCUUGCAGUGCCAAGGUCUGAUUUUGCUCUCUAUGUAACACUCAGUGCCAUUUAAACUUAUCAAAGCUCUGUACUGAGCACAGCUAAGUGUGAACUUAAUGGAGACUAAUGUGGAUGCAAUGAC